GCCGUGCUCCGCGUCAGUCUUGGCUGCCGGCUACUGUGCUCAGUACUCGUCAGGGUGCGUUUUCUCGCAGGUUUGUUAUCCACCGCCAUCCUGGCUCCCACGUGUUGUCUGACUAUUCUUGAGCCCAGGUACCGGUAGUGGGGGAUCGAGGCUCAGUGGCGGACGGCGCGGGAGGCUGGGCUGCAGUCGGGGGAGCGAGUGGCGCCGGCGGUUCUUGGAGCUCAAGCCUUUGCUACACGUGCUACUUCUCCCAAGAGGCGGGUGAGCGCGUUCGGAACAUUUUCCCCGGAAGAGACUCAGGGGUUAGGGAUGAGUAACGUCGUGCUUCUCUUUCAGCAGAGUAAGUGGGGUUUCUGCAUGAUCUGGCUGGACCCCAGGCGGGAUGGGACGUGUGGUCGUCUGGAGGGACCUCACCGGAAGGGAUGGGAUGGCGGGUAGACCAGCCGCAAGAGAAGCUGUAGAGGGGCCCAGGCGUUGCAAGGAGCUGGUUAAUGGUUCAGAGGCAUAAGCUGGAGCUGACUGCAUUUGUUCCCCUCUAGUGGGGAGCCAUGGCUAAGGUGAUGGCCUCACAGUGGAAGAGCUUCCUGUCACAGCAACUCUUUUGCAAGAUGCCCUGUCCAGGAACAGUUGCUGAACACCCCAGGCCUGCUGAGCUCCCUCCUUGACUCUCAUGUUCAAGCAGUCUUCGUCCACAAAACUGGGAGGCUACCUUGUUAGCUGCCAGUUCCUGUCAGCCACCUCUCACCAGCGGCUCCGCUCUGUGUCCCUGACCCAACACAUGGCACAAGAGUGCCUGCUGUCCCUCCAUACUUCUACAGCAGCAAUCCCAGGGUGCCAGAGCUAGUGGGGACCUGACCUGAGAGACGAUUCCUUCAGUGGCUGCCAGGCUGUUCCCUGGAACUUGUGCAGGGAUGAGGCCUGCCUGCGUUAAUACACCUAGUGAGGAGUGGAGCUGAAUUUGAACGCAAGUCUUGGCGCCUUAAUUGAGCAAGUUUGAAACCUUCCUUGCUGCCCUUCUGGAAGGAGUCAAGAAUUUCCGGUUCUGGGCCUGGGCUCUGGGUCCGACAGACCUCUGGCCCUCGGUUUGGGUGCCAGGUUCUCUGCUUCCAGAGAACCUGGGCCCUUCUGGUAUCUCCUGAAUGAAAAACAAGGGAUAUUUAAUAAAUACGGAUUUAAGUAUGUGA